GGAGAGUGGUGGUGGCAGGCCUCAGCACAUGUGGGAGUGGCCGCCUCACAGCUGGGGCCACCAAGCUUGGGCUCCCAGGGGCCCAGUGAGGAGCACCACGGAAGUGAUGGAGGAGGGUAGCACAGGCUCCGAUAAGGCCAGGAAGCCCUCUGGGAACUAAGAGGCCUGGGGUGACAGGCAAGGCUGCUCUGCUACCUUCUGAAGGCUGUUCCUGGUGUGUUGUGGGACGUGGGGUGACGCCAGGCAGAGGCAGCGGUACACGGUGUUCUGCAGGAAGGCAGGCGGGCGGGUUCCAAAUAUGGACGUGCAAUAGGAAGCUUGGCUCCAGGAGUGCAGACGCCUCACACAGCUGCAAUGUGAGGAACUGAUUGUCCAGGCUUCAAAAGACCAAAUAAAUAAGCUGAUAAAUGAGCCGUGAAUCACCGAAGAGCCCUGAGCCACCAAAGAGAGGAAGAACGGUCCUCAGUCAAACAAACUUUCUGAGGAGGAAGGGCUGGCUACUCAGUUCUGCUGUUGCUUAGAAGCAGCUGAGGAGUUGACCACCCCUGCAACUCUCCCAGGGCAACGCUGGCUGUCCCUGCACUUUUCAGAAAGGGAAAUCGUCGCUUCAUCUGAACCAGGGCCACCAGCUCUGCAGUGAGGACCAAUUCUCUAUGUUGAAGGUCAGGUUUCUACUCUGAAAGAGUAACUGGAAAGGCAGGCAUCUGGGAGACUCCUGCCACCCUGUUGCUACCCACAUGAUAGCUGAUGGUGAUUGGGGGGCAGUGGGCUGUGAAAUGUGCCAUCUGAAGUCAGAGCAGACUUGAGUUUGAACACCACCCCUUCCGCUUACCAGCUGUUUUACUCUGGUAAGUAAUGCACUGCCAUUAAGCCUCCACCUCCCUCUGUGUGGGAAGCACUAUGACACUCAACCUGGAUAGCGAAAUGGAACCAGACAGUCUUGCGUGAAGUCUUCCUAGACCGAUGAACAAAUGUCUACUCACCAACCACAGACCAAAACAACAAUUCACACCCGAGUCUGACUUGGUGCAGUACUGAAUUCAAUUCGGGUUACCUACAGGUGUGUGGUAGCUUGUGAGCUUCUACACACUGAAGAAAAGGUUUCUUACCCCACUCCCCAGGCCCCAACCACAGUUAAUGGUCCAUAGAUCCUCAGGAGGGGCAGGGUCUUGUGAACCUCUUGCCCUAGGGACCUUUAACUGCUUAUAUACACAUAGGUUCCCAGGAAAGGAUGGAUCUCCCAGAGUUCCUUCUGUCAGUCAUGGAAACAGAGAGAGAGAGACAGACAGACAGACAGACAGACAGACAGACACAGAGAGAGAGAGACAGACAGAGAGAGAGACAGACAGACAGAGACAGA